AUUGAACGCUGGCGGCAGGCUUAACACAUGCAAGUCGAGCGGAGAGAGGUAGCUUGCUACUGAUCUUAGCGGCGGACGGGUGAGUAAUGCUUAGGAAUCUGCCUAUUAGUGGGGGACAACAUUUCGAAAGGAAUGCUAAUACCGCAUACGUCCUACGGGAGAAAGCAGGGGAUCUUCGGACCUUGCGCUAAUAGAUGAGCCUAAGUCGGAUUAGCUAGUUGGUGGGGUAAAGGCCUACCAAGGCGACGAUCUGUAGCGGGUCUGAGAGGAUGAUCCGCCACACUGGGACUGAGACACGGACCAGACUCUUAGGGGAGGCAGCAGUGGGGAAUAUUGGACAAUGGGCGGAAGCCUGAUCCAGCCAUGCCGCGUGUGUGAAGAAGGCCUUAUGGUUGUAAAGCACUUUAAGCGAGGAGGAGGCUACUUUAGUUAAUACCUAGAGAUAGUGGACGUUACUCGCAGAAUAAGCACCGGCUAACUCUGUGCCAGCCGCCGCCGUAACAC
rnacentral:rRNA from 1 species